rnacentral:ncRNA from 1 species
UAAAAGUUUUAUUCUAACUUAGAAAUUAGAUUUAAUUUUAUUUUACAUGCAAGUUUUAGCUUAAAGUUUUUAGAGGCUUAGAUAGCUUUUAUUUGGGAAAUUUUAUUCGCAGUAGAGGAAUUUAAAUAUCAUAUAAUUAUGGAUUUGGAAAUAAUUUUUAAUAUUGACUAAAUUUGUGCCAGCAGUUGCGGUUAGACAGGUAAUAUAAUUUAAUUUUUUCGGGGACAGUUAACUUAAAAAUGUGGAAUUUUUAAUUUGAUUUUAUUGAGUGAAAUCUUGAAUUUAAUUGAAAAUUUAUCCUUAUUAGUGAGGCUGAGAAAUUCUUGCACCUAGACUAGGAUUAGAUACCCUAUUAUUUUGAACGUGAACUCUUAAUUCCUGAUUAGUAUUAGUUAUGUGCUUUAAAAUUAAAGAUUUUGGCGGUAUUUUAGUCCCUUCAGAGGAACCUGUCCUAUAAUCGAUGGUCCACGAUUAACUUUACUUUUUUUAUUAGUUUAUAUAUCGUCGUAGGUUGAACAUUUUAUUAGAACUUAAAUGUUCACGAUCUCUUUCCAGGGAGGAAAUCAGAUCAAGGUGUAGCUUAUAAGAAAGAAGAGAUGGGUUACAAUAAAUUUAUUUGAGGAUUGGUCGGCUUGAAAAGGGCCAUGAAUAUGGAUUUGAAGGUAAUUUUAAUUUAUAAUUAAGAUGAUUUUGGCUCUAAAGUAUGCACAUAUCGCCCGUCGCUUUCAUUCCAAGGUGAAAUAAGUCGUAACAUAGUAGGCUUACUGGAAAGUGAGCCUAGAAAG